UCCUCGUUGUCUUCACAACGCAGAAGCAGAACCACAUAUACCAGAGAUGCAAGAUGUAGCCCUAGCCUCCCCCGUGCCCUUGAGUUCUCGCGUCUACCCUUUGCCACAUUUUCCAUGAAGGUCCGUCGUCAAUGUAGAUUUCUUCACCGUCAAUCGAGAUUUCUGUCCUCCGCUGUUGAACGAGUUCUCGCUCUGCCUCUGAUUCCCGUCGCUCAUGGAUAGCCUCUAAUUCACCUCUAUCUCUGAUUCGUGUUGCUCAUAGGUACAGCCUUUUCUGCUACGCCUUUUCUCGUGGUUCUUAUGUGUUUACAACUUCAUCAUAUUGCUUGAGCUGUUAUUUGGUUUUUGAUUCAGCAACUAAUUUCAAUGUUUGUAGUUGAACUGAUAUAAACAUGGUUCUGAUUCUGAGGGUUUUGCAAAAUUAAGAAUUAAAAAUGGAGUGUGAAGUAGAAGCAGUGUUGAGAAGAAGACAAGGAUGAUGGAAAGAUAAGAAGCAGAAUUUAGUUUCUCGAAAUUACAGAGUUUUGUGAAUGUUCUGUCAAUAUGUGUUGCUCUGUUCGUUCAUUUUUAAAUUUGAGAAGAGAAAUCUGAAGCUGGAAGUUACUCAUUUGGAAAAGGCUAAGGAACUUUAUAUCAAAUGUCAUAUGGCGCUACGUACCUUGCCUUUUAUUUGAUAUUUGCUAUAUGUGAGAUGAGGCAACGAUUGGGAGAUCACAGAGGCGUGGGCCUAAAGGCAGCUUCAUAGCAUGUUUAUACGGAGUUGACUAGAGUGGAAGGGUGCUCCGCCAAUUUACCAUGAAAGGGAAUUGCUGAGAGAGCAGCCAAGCGACUUAUUGAAACUUUCCUCAGACAAAACUCUAGUGGAGGAAAUUGAAGUGUAACAGUGCUGCAAAAACAUAAAGUAAUGUUCCUACCCUUUGCACUUAAAUCUUGAUGCAUAAAAAAAUAUUCUUGGUUUUUAUUGGUUAUGCUUAGCGUUGAACAUUCUUGUUUUCAUUGGUUCUUUUUUUGUGCUUUAAGUGGACUGUUUUGAACCUUUCAUUUGGUUAAGAAGUCCUGUAUUUAAUUUCCAUUUGAAUUGAAUUUUGUAGUGGGUAUUUAUUUAUUUUUUUCAUGCUUGUCAGAUUAUAUUUGUCUUCAAAACAUAACAGGAAUUUUUUUUUUUUUUUUCACUGAAUAGACUUUCCAGACACUAGCAUAUUUGUGUUCUCAUUUUCCCUUUUCUUUUCACUAUCAGAAUUGCUAAUGAAAGAAUUGAAUUAAUGUGUUGUAAUUAACAAGACCAAACUUAACAAGGUUAAUAUGGAUUAAGAUUGAGCAUAAUGCUUUUAGGUAAAUAUGGAUUAUUUUCCUUUGGCCAAAGGUUUAACAUAUUUAUUGGAUUGUGUAGAAAUUGAUCCAAAAUUCAUUAACAUAUUUUUUUUAUGGAGUGAAACAAGUUUGCCUUCCUCUAUUAUGAAUUUAUACUUGCAAGCUUAUUAUUAUUAUUUUUUAAUAUCAUGAGGCAAGAUUUUUUAUUUGAUACAAUAUUUUAUAUUUUUCUCAUGUAGGAAGGUGGUUCUAACUAAAGAGAUUUAAAUGAGGAGCUCUAACAAAAUAGUUGAAGAGAUAUCAAUGAGGGUUUCCAUUUACUUUGAUAUACAGACUUGCUUUCAAUGUAAUGUAGUGCUAUUGUCAUACUUACAUUGUUCUAUAUAUCCAUUUGAUCAAACCAAAUUCUCUUUAGUGUGGCUGCGUAUAAGCACAUGGAUUCAUGUUCAAAAGUUUAUGCACUUCACUAUGUACAAUAUAAUUAUUAUUGAUUGUAUUUCAAUGCUACAA